AAGUCGUAACAAGGUUUCCGUAGGUGAACCUGCGGAAGGAUCAUUGGGAUGAAGAUAGAGAGAGAGUUGGAACGAAGGAGCAAUAAAUCUUUUUUAUACAACCAAACACACAACUGCUGACAAUGGAUCUCUGGGCUCUU
rnacentral:misc_RNA from 1 species